GCACCUUGGAUACAAACACCGUGAACUCAUCGGGAACCUAUGAAAACCUCUCAAGGAAUGAACAGGGCGCAAGGCACAAUGCACAAGAUGGAAACUCCACUUACACGGGACUGGUUCUGGGGGAUCGAUCUGUUUACAAUGAUCUGAAGAGAUGACGUCACUGUUGAAUAGAAGAGGACGGUUGGCCGGGAAUUCACACAUGAGAAGGACAACCAUCGUGGAAGAAGCCACCGUGCCACACGUCUCUUACUUUUUAUAUACGACCGUUAUCCGUGUCUCCGGCAUCUCUCUCUCGAGUGUCACAUCUUCACUCCGAGACAUCACUGAAGGGUGUGACACAUUUUUUUAUCGUAGCGGCUUAGUUCUCUCACUUCAACCUAGACUCGUCCAGCCCAUGAUAGGCAGCCUCACGCUUUCACCAACCUUUGCCCUCUCAACUUUGCUCUGCGUUACGAUCUCAAUAAACUCAUUGUCCACAUUAUAGGCGGUUCAGUUUCUAAAGACAUGUUUCGCACAGAUCUGAAAAGUAGCAGUGUGUGACCCUCAACCUUCAGACAAGCCUCUGUUUUAUCUUGUCCGGGAGACUGGUGCAGCGGCUGAAACGGUCACGUGACAAUAAUUCCAAUGAUUCCGC